rnacentral:lncRNA from 1 species
GUUUUUAUCGGUUUAUUACUAACCAAAUUCAACCAUAAUCAUACGUAGACAAGUCAAUAAUUGUAGACUGAUCGCCAUAAUUGAUUUUUGUUGCACAUGUUCCUCUAUUUUACUAUUGCUAGAUAUUGUGUCUGUUGUUGUCCCAUCAGGUGAUAUUCAUGGGCCAUUGGCAUUCCCAGAUAACAACGAGUUUCUCAAUAUUCUAUUACUAACCACAUGUGCAGCUACUAAAGAUCAGAUUUAUGACCCAACAAUUGUAGAAAGAAAAAGUUCUCAAGAUUUGAAGCUAGAUUUGAGUAAAUUAAAGUGCACAGUUCAGGUUUGAUGAGUUUCUCAUUGUUUAUUAUUUGGUUACAUACCACGAAAACCAGCAUGCUGAAAAUAUUAUCAAUGCCUGUACACACACAUUUCUGUAUUUUACUAUUCCUAGAUAAUCAUGUGUUUUGUUGUUCUAUCAGGUUGUACUUAUGGAUUACAGAAUUCCCAGUUCCACAACACCCAAUUCAAGUCCCUGAAUAUUUUGUGUGAACCACAGUUUCUGCUACCAAACAUUGGUAGAAGAAUACCAAAGGUUUCUCUUGACUCUCAGUAAUUGGUAAAUGUGAAGCAGUUGAUAUUGUGUGUAAUCAAGGAGGUAUAUACCAGGUAUAUAAUCCAUUCCCAAAAAAAAAGCGUGCAGCAAACUUCCAAAGGAAAAAAGUGGUGCUGCUAUUGUGGCAACAACAAAGAUUCUAUUGAUUUGUUAUCAUUAUAGAUUACCUAUUUUGCUUAAUAUACUGGAUGAGAACCAUCUGGAUUUCUUCCAAGGAAAAGUAAAGGGGGCAAUAACACAGUCGACUAAGUUCUUUGUUUGCUAACCCGUUGGCUGCUUCCUUGACCCGGCUGACCUUGCCCUCUUUGACUUCGGUCCCGAUUUGAGUUAGCGACGCUAUUCCAUGGAUUGUGAACCUGACGAGAGACGACAGCUCAACGACGACUAAUUGACGGGCUGUCAUUCAGCAAUACUGCUCGUUCAGUUCGUCCUUCGUCGCUCCGAUUCAUCGGGGAAUUGAGCUUGCUCCAACUACGCGGCCACAUGCCAGAAUCAUUGGAUUACCCAGCCGACUUGUAAGUUACCCCAGCUCUCAACACAGCAGAGUUUUACUCUUUAGAUUAUGUUUGGCUGUUUGCCAUGUUUGAUGGCGUUUUCUUGUGUGCGACCACUAAUCGCUCCCUAUCAAAACUGGCCUCGGACUCCUCUCUUCUUCCUUGUCCAGGUAAUCUCCCUUGGGCAGUUAAUCAAGGCAGUCUCCCCCUUCUUGAUUGACUGAACUUUGUAAGGAAAAUUGAACAUUUCAUAUUGAUAAAAUUAAUUUAGUGUAGAUGGAUGAUAAACAUUGUAUGUAAUAGUGUCAACUCAAUAAGCUUGUAAAGUUAUAUUUUCAAAAUACAGUGUUAUAUAUAAAUCUUAUAUAUCCCAACUUA